rnacentral:lncRNA from 1 species
GUUUUGCACUACAGCCCAAGUGACGAUCAAGGAAGGUGUCUGUAAGGAAAUGUCCUGAAGAGGUGACAUGAGUGAGGGAGAUUUAACUGUGUAACAAUUUGGGGGAAGAAUUCCAGAUGGAUGCCAAGGCCUUAAGGGAUGCCUCAAAUUUGUAGGUAGUUCCCUUGAAUAGAGAUAAAAAGGGAAUGAGAGAAAGAAAAAUAUCCAAAGACCCAAUAGAAACAAGAUAGCAAGCAGAGCAUCUGUAUAGAAGAGCUUUGGAAUUUAGCAGUGAUGUGACAAAAUGAAGAGGAUACUGGACUAGGAGCUGAUAAACUCUAAUGAAGAAAGCUACUCAGCUAACACUGUUUCUGGCAACCAAAUAGAGUAUAGACAUAUAAAUCAUUCAAGUAAGUUCCAGAAAAAGAACUUUUCCCUAGAGGUGACUAUAAACUACUCUUGAUGUUGUAUUUGUUUGGUUUCAAGUGAUAGAAACCCAAGGAGUUCUAGAACAACCAAACCAAGCAGGGAUGCCAUUGAACCCAAGGAACUACUGGAACCAGGGCUAUAAAACCAGCCAGCAAUCCCUUUUGGUCUCUCUUCUCAGGCUCUCUGUUUUGACUCUAUUAUUACAAUAAAUUCAAAAAUGAUAAAACAACUAGAAAAACAAAAACAAAUUAAACCCAAAGUUAGCAGAAGAAAGAAAAUUACUAAUUACUAAAACCAGAGCAGAACUAAAUGAAAUUGAGAUAAAAAAUUUUUUUUAUCAACAAAACAAAAAGUUGGUUUCUUGAAAGGAUGAACAAAAUUGAUAGACUGCUAGCUACAUUAGAAAAAGUGAGAAGAUCCAAAUAAGCACAAUCAGAAAUGACAAAGGUGACAUUACAACUGAUCCCACAGAAAAACACAAGAUCCUCAGAGACUACUAUAAACAUCUCUUUGUGCACAAACUAGAUAAUCUAGAGGAAACUGAUAAAUUCCUGGAAACACACAACCUCCCAAGAUUGAACCAGGAAGAAAUUGAAACCCUUAAAAGACCAAAUAUGAGUUAAGAAAUUGAAUCAUUUAAAAACAAAACAAACAAAAAAAAACCCUACCAACCCCAAAAAAAAAAAGCCCUGGACCAGGCAGAUUUACAGCUGACUUCUAUGAAACAUACAGAGAAGAGAUGGUACUAAUCCUGCUGAAAUUCUUCCAAAAAAUCAAGGAGUAGGAAUUGCUCCCUAAUUCAUUCUAUGAAACCAGUAUCAUCCUGAUACCAAAAUCUGGCAGGAACACAACAACAACAAAAAAGAAAACUAGGCCAGGUGCGGUGGCUCACACCUGUAAUCCCAGCACUCUGGGAGGCCGAGGCAGACGGAUCACAAGGUCAGAAGAUCGAGACCAUCCUGGCUAACACGACGAAACCCCGAGAUCUCUACUAAAAACACAAAAAAUUAGCCGGGCGUGGUUGCGUGCACCUGUAGUCCCAGCUACUUGGGAAGCUGAGGCAGGAGAAUGGUGUGAACCUGGGAGGCAGAGCUUGCAGUGAGCCGAGAUCACACCACUGCACUCCAGCCUGGGCGACAGAGCAAGACUCCAUCUCAAAAAAAAGAAAAAAAGAAAACUAUAAGCCAAUAUUCUUGAUAAAUACAGAUUAAAAAUUCCUCAGCAAAAUACUAGCAAACAGAACCCAGCAGCACAUCAAAAAGAUAAUUUACCACAAUCAAGUGGACUUUCUUCCUGGGAUGCAAGGGUGGUCCAACAUAUGCAAAUCAAUAAAUGUGAUUCAUGCCAUAAACAGAAUUAAAAACAAAAACCAUAUGAUCAUCUUAACAGAUGCAGAAAAAAGGUUUUGAUAAAUUCCAAUAUUCUUUCAUGAUAAAAACCCUCAACAAACUAGGCAUUGAGGGAACAUACCCCAAAAUAAUCAGAGCCUUCUAUGACAAACCCACAGCCAACAUCAUACUGUAUGAGCUAAAGCUGAAAGCAUUCCCUCCAAGAACUGGAACAAGACAAGGAUGUCCACUCUCUCCAUUUCUAUUCAACAUCGUACUGGAAGUCCUAGCCAGAGCAAUCAGGCAAGAGAAAGAAAGACAGUAGGAAAAGAGGAAGUCAAAUUAUCUCUCUUCACUGAAAAUAUAAUUUUUUCUUUUGAGUCAGGGUCUCACUCCAUUGCUCAGGCUAGAGUGGAGUGGCGCUAUCUCGGCUCACUGCAGCCUUAACUUCCCAGGGCUAAGCAAUCCUCAGCCUCCCGAGUAAUGUUUCUAUAUAUAGAAAACCCUAAAGAUUUUGCCAAAAUACUCCUAGACCUGACAAAUGGCUUCAGUAAAGUUUCAGGAUACAAAAAUCGAUGUACAAAAUUCAGUAGCAAUUCUGUAUACCAAUAAUGUUCAAGCUGAGAACCAAAUCAAGAAUGCAAUCCCAUUUACAAUAGCCAAUAAAUAAAUAAAUAAAAUACCUAGGAAUACAUCCAACCAAGGAGUUUAAAGCUCUCUACAAGGAGAACUGCAAAACACUGUUGAAAUAAAUCAUAGAUGACACAAACAAAUGGAAAAACAUUCUGUUCUCAUGGAUUGGAAAGCAAUCUACAGAUUUAAUGGAAUUCCUAUCAAGUUACCAAUGUCAUUUUUCACAGAAUUAGAAAAAACUAUUAUAAAAUGUAUACAGAACCAAAAGAGAGCCCAAAUAGCCAAAGCAAUCCUAAGUAAAAAGAACAAAGCUGGAGGCAUUGCAUUACCUGACUUCGAGUUAUACUAUAAGGCUACAGUAACCAAAAUAGUGUGUUACUGGUAAAAAAUAGACACAUAGACCAAUGGAACAGAAUAGAGAACCCAGAAAUAAAGCUGCACACAUAUAACCAGCUGAUCUUGACAAAGCUGACAUAAACAAUGGGGGAAAGGACAUCCUAUUCAAUAAAUGGUGCUAGGAAGACUGGCUAAACAUACCCAGAAGAAUGAAACUGGAGACCCUACCUCUCACCAUAUAUACAAAAACUCAGGAUGGAUUAAAUGUAUACACCAUAUACAAAAACUCAGGCUGGAUUAAAGACUUACAUGUUAAGACCUCAAACUAUAAAAAUCUGAAAAGAAAACCUAGGAAAUACUCUUCUGAACACUGGCCUAUGCAAAGAAUUUAUGACUAAGACAUCAAAAGCAAAAACAGGCCGGGCACAGUGGCUCACGCCUAUAAUCCCAACACUUUGGGAGGCCAAAGUGGCCAGAUAGCUUGUACUCAGGAGUUCAAGACCAGCCCGGUCAACCUGGCAAAACCCUGUCUCUACCAAAAAAUACAAACAUUAGCUGGGCAUGGUGGUGCACACCUGUAAUCCCAGCUACUCAAGAGGAUGAGGUGGAGGAUCACUUGAGCCCAGGAGGCAGAGGCUGCAGUGAGCCAAGAUCACACCACUGCACUCCAGGCUGGGUGACAGAGUGAGAUGUCAAAAAAAAAUUGGCAAUUGGGACCUAAUUAAACUAAAGAGCUUCUGCACAGCAAAAGAAAGUAUCAACAGAGUAAACAGACAACCCACAGAAUGAGAAAAAAUAUUUUCAAACUGUGCAUCUGACAAAGAAUAUCCAGAAUCUGUAAGUAACAUAAACAAGUCAGCAAGAAAAAAAAAAUCACCCCAUUGAGAAAUGGACAAAGGACAGAGACAUUUCACAAAAGAAGACAUACAAGCAGCUAGCAGGCAUAUGAAAAAAAUGUUCAAUGCCACUGAUAAUCACAGAAAUGCAAAUCAAACCCACAAUGAGAUACCAUCUCACAUCAGUCAGAAUGACUAUUAUUAAAAAGUUAAAAAAUAACAGAUGUUGGCGAGGUUGCAGAGAAAAUGGAACACUUAUACACUGUUGGUGGGAAUGUAAAUUAGUUCAACUCUUGUGGAAAGCAAUUUAGAGAUUUCUUAAGGAACUAAAAAUAGAACUCCCAUUGGACCAAGCAAUCCCAUACCCAAAAGAAAAUAAAUCGUUGUACCAUAAAGACACUUGCACUCAUAUGUUUAUUGCAGCACUAUUCACAAUAGCAAAGACAUGGAAUUAACCUAGGUGUCCAUCAACAUUGGUUUAAAUAAAGAAAAUGUAGCACAUGUACACCCAUGGAAUACUCUGCAGCCAUAAAAAAAGAAUGAAAUCCUGUCCUCUGCAGCAACAUGGAUGCAACUGGAGGCCAUUAUCCUAAGUGAAUUAAUGCAGAAACAGAAAAUCAAAUACCACAUGUUCUCACUUAUAAGUGGGAGCUAAGCAAUGGGUACACAUGAACACAAACAGGGGACCAACAGACCCUGGGAACUCCAAAAGAGGGAAGGGAGGGAGGGAGGGAGGAAAGGAGGGAGGGAGAGUAGCAAGGGUUGAAAAACUUCCUAUUGGGUACUGUGUUCACUGUUUGGGCGGUGUGUUCAAUAGAAGCCCAAACCUCAGCAUUACACAAUAUAUCCAUGUAACAAACCUGCACAGGUACCCCCUGAAUCCAAAAUAAAAAUCAAAAAGUUCAAGGAAGAGACAGCCCAGCUUGGAUGAGGAGUGGGGGUCACAUAAGAAAAUGGCACCUCCACAGUGGCCUUAUGGGUGAGGAAGAGCACAGCUCCCCGAGGAGUGGGUAUUAGACAUACAUGUCAGCUACUGAUGCUUUUGGGCAAUGAAAACCUAAGGGUUGGUGAACCCUAAAGCUCAUUUAGUAAACAUUCCUCUAGAUCUUCUAUACUAAGUGAAUGUAACAAAAGUGAAACAAAAGUACAAACAGGUCAGCCCUGGAGAGCAACUGAAGCCUAAAACCAAUAGGAAAAAACAGCCUGGAAUUUGGGAUGCCCUUGAAAAAUGUUCAAAACUACCAUUGGGAUGUUACAGCUUGGUGCUUCUCUAAAUCAUACCCUCAAAUGAGGGGGCUCUAGAAAUGCAAGGCAGAUGUUCUCCAGUUACAAAACAGAUCUACUCGUUAGCAAAUGAUGUUUUCAAGGGUGUGAUCAUGGCUUUCCCAGAUAUUUGGAAGAGAAAGCUUUCCUGCUGCAUCUCCACAUUGACCCAAAGUCAAAAUAUUUCCUCUGCCUGUGUCUAACUUAAACCUGAGUUUUCAUAUUGAAAAAUCCCAGUAUGGGAGGCAGAAUUCCAUACAAAAUGGCAAUCAAUGCAAUCCAUUACCUUUUAAACAUACAUGAAAAUCAGUCCACUCUUCUUACUCUAUGUGGGUCCUGAAUGUUUUGCAUUUUAAGUACCACAAGGUCACUUUUAGUUUAGAUGAAGGCCCAGGGACAUCAAUUCUUUAGAAAACAGAUUAAACUGUAACAAAUAUUAUUGCUUGCUGCUGUUAAACAAGCUCAUAAAACACAAGCUGGCCAAGUUCAAACUUAUUUUGAAAAUUGGUGUUGCUUUUUUGUUUUGUUUUGUUUUGUUUUUCAGAAUGCUGACUCAGGUGCUGUAUGUUAGGAGGAUGAGAUAACACAAUGGUUUACUUCUGGCCAAACUAGGUCACCAAUGGUGAUUCAAAUGAACACGAACAUUUUCAGCUGGCAACUGUUGUGCUGGUUUUCCUUGGUGUGUGCCAAUUAUUCCAGUGAAAAUUUCUGGGAUUUCCUAUCGUGUUUUUAGGCUGAGAUUUAAUGUUAGAUUUUUUUGUGCUCUACCUUCAUACUCCAUUAUUGUUAAAGGUAGAAAAUCCAGCAGAUAAAGGAGCUCAAAAUGUGCUGCAUUUGAUAAGUCAAACUAUGAAUAAAUCAAAUUUGAAAAAAAUUGACGAUUGACAAAAUUAAGCACAUUAAGAAAGCGUGAAUAUUUUCUUUGAAUUGUACAAUUGAGAGUAGAACAAAAAAUAAAAUAUAUUUAAGCCAUACGAAGCAGAUGUUGAUAACUAAUAACAGAAGUAGAAAGUAUUUAUUUGGGGAAUGCUAGACCACUGAAACAUUAGUUGCUGAACGCAGAUAUAGACACAUCAAAGUGCAUGGAUUAUUAUCUAUGCAGCAGUUUACAUUCCUCUUAUAAAUUUAGGCUUGUCAUCAUUUUGUUAUUUCUAAAGAGACAGAGUCUGUAUCUCAUGUAUUAAUUUUACCAACAAUUACAACUCUCCAUUCUGUGCCGGACCCUGAGAUAAUUGCUGGAAAUAUAACUAAAUAAAGCCAGGUUCUUGUUCUCAAGAAGUUCUCCAUCUAGCCAGGAGACAGAUGUGUAAAAAAGUAAUUUAGAGGGAGAUUACAAACACUUAUACAGUCAUGUGUUGCUUAACGACAGAAAUAUGUUCUGAGAAAUGUGUCAUUAGGAGAUUUCAUCAUUGUGUGAACAUUAUAGAGUGUACUUACACAAACCUACAUGGUGUAGCCUACUGCACACUCAGCCUAUGUGGUAUAGCCUAGUGCUCCUAGGCUACAAACCUGUACUGCAUGCUACUGUACUGAACAAUGUAGGCAAUUAUAACACAAUGGUAAGUAUUGUGUAUCUAAAUUUAUCUAAACAUAGAAAAGGUACAGUAAAAAUACAAUAUAAAAGAUUAAAAAAUAAUACACCAAUAUAGAAUACUUACCAUGAUUGGAACUUGCAGAACUAGAAGCUGCUCUGGGUGACAAUGAGUGAUGAGUGAAUGUGAAGGCCUGGG